AAUCCAUAGGUUAAUGAGGCGAACCGGGGGAACUGAAACAUCUAAGUACCCCGAGGAAAAGAAAUCAACCGAGAUUCCCCCAGUAGCGGCGAGCGAACGGGGAGGAGCCCAGAGCCUGAAUCAGCAUGUGUGUUAGUGGAAGCGUCUGGAAAGGCGCGCGAUACAGGGUGACAGCCCCGUACACAAAAGCGCAUGUGCUGUGAGCUCGAUGAGUAGGGCGGGACACGUGGUAUCCUGUCUGAAUAUGGGGGGACCAUCCUCCAAGGCUAAAUACUCCUGACUGACCGAUAGUGAACCAGUACCGUGAGGGAAAGGCGAAAAGAACCCCGGCGAGGGGAGUGAAAAAGAACCUGAAACCGUGUACGUACAAGCAGUGGGAGCACAGGUUUACCUGUGUGACUGCGUACCUUUUGUAUAAUGGGUCAGCGACUUAUAUUCUGUAGCAAGGUUAACCGAAUAGGGGAGCCGGAGGGAAACCGAGUCUUAA
rnacentral:rRNA from 2 species